UUGACGGUACCCUACUAGAAAGGAGCCGCUAACUUCGUGCCAGAAGCGUCGGUAAUACGGGGGCUCCAAGCGUUAUCCGGUGUUAUUGGGCGUAAAGAGCCGUGUAGGUGGUUGGGUAAGUUAUCUUUCAAAUAUCUUUGCUUAACAAAGAGGAGGGGGAUAAUACUGCUCGACUAGAAUUUUCUCAAGGGAGAUCGGAACUGAGGGAGGAGUAGUGAAAUGCGUUGAUACCCUCGGGAACACCAGUGGCGUAGGCGGAUCUCUGGGAGAAGAUUGACACUGAGACACGAAAGCUAGGGGAGCGAAGCAGAUUAGAGACCUGCGUAGUCCUAGCCGUAAACGCAUGCUUGCUAGCUGCAUGAAUCUACCUUCGGGUGGUAUCGUGUGGCGAAGGUAACCCGUUAAGCAAGCCGCCUGGAAAGUACGGCCGCAAGGCUGAAAUUCAAAGGAAUUGGCGGGGAGGCACACAACCAGUGGAACAUGUGGUUUAAUUCGAGACUAACCGAAGAACCUCACCAGGGUUUGACAUGUAGCUGCACGUCUUAAGAAAUUAAGACUCUCUUGAAGGUGCUACACAGGUGCUGCAUGGCUGUCGUCAGCUCGUUCCGUGAGGAGUGCCCUUAAGUGGGACAACGAGCGCAACCCCUAUUACAUGUUAGAAAUGUCAUGUAAGACUGCCUUGCCAUUUGGCGGGGAGGAAGGAGGGGCAGACGUCAAGUCCGCAUGGUCCUUAUGCCCUGGGCUACACACAUGUUACAAUGAGUACGGCAAUGAGUCUGUCGCGAGCACGUAAGUGUAAGCUAAUCUCUUAAAUGUACUCUCAGUGGGGAUUGAGGUCUGCAACUCGACCUCAUGAACACGGAAUUGGUAGUAAUCGCGGGUCAGCUAUACCGCGGUGAUACGUUCUUGCCUCUUGCACACACCGCCCGUCAAACCAGCAAAGU
rnacentral:rRNA from 1 species